CUGGCGGAUGUCCGGGGUUAAUUCCCUUGGAACAGGGGACCGGAGAGGGUGACAGUCCCGUCUUUGCCUCGGGUCAUCCGCGUGAAGGCCGUCCAACGGAGUCGAGUUGCUUGGGAUUGCAGCUCAAAGCCGGUGGUAAAUUCCAUCGAAGGCUAAAUACGGGAGGGAGACCGAUAGCGAACAAGUACUGUGAAGGAAAGAUGCAAAGAACUUUGAAAAGAGAGUUAAAAAGUACCUGAAAUUGUUGAAAGGGAAGUGUUUGAGCUCAGUGUU
rnacentral:rRNA from 14 species